AUUGAACGCUGGCGGCAGGCCUAACACAUGCAAGUCGAACGAGUGGCGGACGGGUGAGCAAUGUCUGGGAAACUGCCCGAUGGAGGGGGAUAACUACUGGAAACGGUAGCUAAUACCGCAUACCAUCGGAUGUGCCCAGAUGGGAUUAGGUAGUAGGUGGGGUAACGGCUUACCUAGGCGCCGAUCCCUAGCUGGUCUGAGAGGAUGAACAGCCACACGUGAACUGAGACACGGUCCAGACUCCUACGGGAGGCAGCAGUGGGGAAUAUUGCACAAUGGGCGCAAGCCUGAUGCAGCCAUGCCGCGUGAGUGAAGAAGGUCGUCGGGUUGUAAAGUACUUUCAGCUGGGAGGCGUUACUCGCAGAAGAAGCACCGGCUAACUCCGUGCCAGCAGCCGCGGUAAUUC
rnacentral:rRNA from 1 species